GCCUGGAGUUUGACACCACUGCAGAAUAGCAUCUCUCAAAAACCAGCACAUCACACCUUGAGGCAGAUGACCUACAGCAACAGAAGACCACACUCUCCUGUCAGCUAAUAACAUGAAACUAAGGCUAAAAUUCACCUGGACACAUCAAAAUGGGGCACCAGACUGAAGUGAAGAAGACACCACAUACACUAUACUGCCAAAAGUUUAGUGUAGUGUGAAGGACUCUGUGCAGGCUGCUUAAAUCCUCAGUCAGAAGCCUCUGUGUUUGUCCACACUGUCAGCUAGACGGCCUGAUGAAAGGCAGUCACUCUGCGGCCGGUCCGUCUGUGCUUUCAGCCCGCAGGCUGUCGUGGAUGCCGCCUUCCCAGAAGGCCACUGGCUAGCAGCUCGUUAGUGUGUCAACUAACUGACCACCCACGACUCUGCCUGCAUGCCUUGGCCUGGCCCCAGAGGCUCAUGGGUAAUCUGUCAUCCAGUGUGUGUGCUGCAGCCCGCUGAUAGCAGACCUUCAGUCAGAGAGGAUGGAGCUGUGAUGUUUCUAUCAGCAGACAAGCGAAUGAACGAACUUCCAGCUGAGCCUCUGAAGCCACAUCAGCUGCCUCCCUCCUCUUCCUCCUCACCCCGUCCUCUGUCAGCCCUUUCUUUUGUCUCACUUUAUCCCCCCGUGCCACUCUGUGACUCUUUUCUACUCUUUCGUAAACGGUUAAAGUCACUCCUAGAAUAUGUUAUGUUCCUUUAUCGUCCCCGUUGACGCUUUCAUCACAGCUGUGAAACGUUUUCUUGUGAAAACAGCAGAGUCCCAUUAAUCAUUUCAGUCGAUUGUCCAGUUCUGGUAUCAGUGUUGGAAUGUUUGAUGAGGUUUGGACUGCUGGAGGAUGUUCGGGUGGAGUCCAGUGGGAGUCGGUCCAGCUGCUGCUGCUGCUGUUCAACAGCCUGAAGCUGUUUGCCUGAUCAUUAGUUCGCCUGAUGUUACUACUCAAACACACAGACCUUUUUUUUGUUUUACACCUUAGUUUGGAAAGAUUAGAGCAUAUAAAUACAGAAUAUGUAUGAGAGACCCAAGGUGCAAUGAUUUCAAUGGAUGUAAGUCUUUAGAGUAGCUCUGUUAUUCUUACAUAUAUGCUUAUUUCCUUAAAAUCAUGUUAAUCUAAACAUGGACUCCAUCUGAAGUCCACUUGUUGUCAUAUUGAUAUGACUAAUCAGUUUUUGCUGGCUUCGGUUGUGGCACAUACAAAGGAAACUGUGGAGAGCAAAAAAGGAAAAGUAUUUGCAGAAACGUGUCAUGCAUCACAGUCUAGGCUCAAAUUGUGUUCAAAUAGGGAACGUAAAACGGCAAAUACAUUAUUUUACCAAAGUACACAUUACAUGUACUUUAGUCAAAUCUUUCAGAGAUGUCUGCUGGCUACCAGAAACAUAUUUAAAAAUUCUAUAGGAUGCUCAAAGUGACAACAUAGAGGAAACUUAAUGUCUUGUUUUGACAAAUUGCAAUUAUAUAUUCCUCUAAAAAAAAAAAAAUAAUUAAAAGGUGAUAGUAGGGCUUACAUUUCUCUGGCACUGUGAUGAAAUCUGAUGACAGUUAUGUGUAUAGCAAAUAAUCUUGCUCAUUUUUUCUAACUGUCACAUAACUAGAAAAUGGCUGCAUAUGCAUGUAUGAAGCCAGACCUCCCUCAUGUCUUAGUCUGAUAUAUUUUAGACUAACAUACAGUCAAAGUAUAUUUGAAAAAUUUUAUCUUUAAGAUGC